CAGUCUUCCACAAUUUGAUAAAAAAAAGCUUUACAGAAUAAGGGAAAAGCUUAUCAAGGCACUUAAGAGGUGCACCUUAAAAGUCUGCAAGAGAAGCAAAAUGUAGGUAUUUAGGUAUGACAAAGCUGAGAAAAAAUGAUAUAUACUUACUUAUUUCGCUCACCUGUCAAAUACAUUUUUCAGUACCUGGAGGCAUACAUGAGGAAUAUUAGAAAUCUCCACAAUAACUCCUCAGCAGUAAAAGAAAUGGAUUUUGCUGAAGCUGCGAUGGUGAUUCAGAAUUCACUGAUUACCUUUGCCAAGAAUAUCGACUAUUGACUCAAUUUGGGCAAGAGCUAUGAGCAUACGGCUUGCUUUAUCUGCUAACAUAAAAUAAAAAUAUUGAUAUGAAACUAGACAAGAAAGAGGAUAAACUAGCAAAGCAAUCAGAUAAACUUGUCCUCCCCACCUCCUUGAACACCAAAAGUGGUUAAUAAAUCGAGAGAUAUUUUCACUUCUGAAGGAGAAGCAGUCUGGAAAAUGGAUGAAUUCAGAUUAUUUUGGCCCAUUACGGAAAGCGGUUACCUUCAAGAAGAUUAUGAACCUGAAGAUCGGUGUGUGUUUCCUGAAAGAAUCAUCAAACAAAGUUUUACAGAGGCUCCCGGGCAUCCUGUUAAUGAGGAAAUUUUCAAUAAUGACAUGGAUCACUCGAUGAUGGACGGACACAAUCCUCCGUCCCUGCCUCCUCCAACACCACCACCAACCCCUCCGCCUAUGGACCUUCCCAUGAACGAUUCGCCUGAAAGUUCAAAAGAUUCUCAAGAAGAAACUGAGAAAGAACGCGAGUGUCGGCAGAAAAUACAAAAAAAUUCAGAGCGAGAAAACAUUGUGUCUCUAGAUAGAGUACUACCAAAAGCGUGGGAACCCAUCCCUCUGAACAAAGGCAAUCCGAUUCGGCCUUUGGCAAAACGAAGAGUAUACAAGUGAUUAGUCUAGUUUGGAAUGUUAGAUGCUGCUUCAGAGUAUGAAGGAGUUUCAUCACAAAAGGUUUGCUCUAUCACUCCAAGUAGAACACAAGCAGUUUUUGGUCAAGGUGCUAAUCCCUCUGCAUGUAUUCUGUGUCUGCAAUUGUACCAUGCCUAAGUUUUGUCCUAUGUCGUCCACUUUUUGGAGGAGCCUCCAAGCUUAACUUAGUUUGUCAUCAGAGGACUCAUGAAAUGCUGUUCCAAAACGUCGAGUUGUAAAGAGGAGGUUUCAUUGGAUUUUCUCUACAACGCCAAGUUGAACACAAGCAGUUCUUGGUCAUGUUCAAGGUGGUAAUUCCUCUACAUAGUGCCUACAAGUGUUGGCGGCUAUAGCAUCCCUAACUUGCUUACUGUGUUUUCUAUUUUUUGAAGACUGAUUUGCUUUUAACUCAGCCAGUUGUCAGAGGACUGUUUAAAUACUGACCCAGAACAUCCAGUUGCAAA